UCUGACGGGAAACACACAGACACAGAGAGAGGGAGCAGCACCAACAACGUGGUUAUUAGCGUGGAGGUUCCACUCGCGCCGGACGCACACAAGACAGAGCAAAUGCAACUUGGAUGAAGGGACAGAUUGUAAGAAAAAAAAAAGAAAAGAGGAGCCGUGGGUGAAAGUACGGGAAGGAGCGGCGAGGGGGAUCCGUGUCCAUCUUAUUUGGAUUUUCAGCUGAUCGGUUCUCAGUUUAGUCACUUCAACAGCAACGCAAACGUCAGGGGACAGAAAGGGAGAAUAAUUUCUCUUAUUUCACUCCGCCAGUGAAAGCAGCAGCGAAACGUUCGAGUUUAGACUUUCUUCUAGCGGAAAAGUUUCAAGGUCCGGUUUUUAUUUUCUCCCAGUUUCGGGUCACUAAAUAAUUAGAGUUUUUUACUGAUAACACCCGUUUACGUUUUACGCUCAAGCCUGACUCUGACACUGGGAAAGAAACAGAUUAAUAAAUCAAAUCUAUGACAUUUUUUUAAGUCAAACCCACAACUUAAAGGCGACUCCACCGAGAAUGACACUAAGCCUGGAAUAAGUCCCCACUGCGUUGUCUGAUUAAAAGUCCUAGAACUUUAAUAAACGUUUGGCUUCGCCUGAGAAAACUUCACGUCUAGCUUUGAUAAACUAAAGCCGAAUCCAGUUGUCAACAGUUAAUAAAUAACAGAUUGGAAAUAAUUGUUCAAAUGUGCCAAGUGGCUCCGCGAUCCGGGAAAAAAUCUUUAAGGCACAAACGGCGCAUAAACAAAAGCGAUAAGGCUCAAAUCGCUGGAUGUUCGGUUCGCCAGCCAAUUCAUCAGCGCGGAUAUUGUUAUUAAGAGAAGUGGACAGAGAUUUUUGUUCGUUCUGGUCACUUUGUGCGUUUAGUCGAAUCACCCAACAAGCCUUAAUAUACGCGACGAACGAGACGCGUUAUCGCCUUUUUUCCUCCGAAGGACAGCGGCGUUGUGCCGCGCCAGACGCCCGGAAAAGAGCUCAAUUUCCCAGGCGGUCAGGAACCGACAGGACGCCUCGACGUCGCGGAGGGUCGAGAAGUAAAAGGAGAAAAAAGCACGAAUCAAACGCACCUACUGUGCGUCCACCUGUGCAGAGGAGAAGCCCCCUGAAACGCACGCCACCUAUCUUCACGGGAGGGGAUAAUUGAGGAGCGCCAAACGUGAGCAUCUUCUGGGUUGAACGUGAAGUUUUUUUCCUCCCCUCCCUUCCUUUCUCUCGUUUCUCUCCCCCUUCCUCCACUUCGUUUCUUUCCCUUACUCCCCUCUCUCUUUCUCCAUCUCUUCUCUUUUUUGAGUGAAAGUGUUGGGCUUCGACGCGGAGCAAAGAACGGGCGACAGUGUUUUUUUUUUCCUUGCUCGCGUUCUUCGUGUGAACGCGUGUGUGUGCGCGCUAAAAGAGGGGAAAACUUGGAGCGCGUCCACGCCGGCCACAAUCAUAAACCCCAAAAUAUGACCCGAGUGUGAUUCUGCACCGUUCACCCGGCAGAAACGGAGACGACUGCAGCCUCUACAGGGACAUUCUGCCAAAGCAAGUGAGAAAAUGCCGUCAAAUAAAAUAAAGUGUCUGUAAAGUGUCUGCAGAGAGACGGGGAGACGCGGGCACCGCGAGAGUCCCUGCAGGAAUAUCAUAGGAAUAUUCCAACAUUAUUAAAGUGAUUUGUCCUUCUGGACGCCACUUAACGGGAUGAAUCCCGCAUUUAUUAAACAAGUCAACCAUCUCAGCCAUGUCUGACUUACAGCAGGGAUAGAAAGAGAGCGAGGGGAGUGAGAGAGAGAGAGAGCGCGAGAGAGAGCGAGAGAGAGAGAGAGGAAGCUCCACCUUUGCAGCGUCCUGAUUGGUUAUGUAAAUAAAGUAUUAUUUUGUGCACUGUCGUCCUGCAGCUCGCCACUGUAUGGCUAAUUAAAUCAUCAAUCAAGGGGCUGAACUGGUAGAUGCCCCCACCUCCCGCCCCGGAUAAAUAACCAAAUAAAUAAAAGACGCAGACAAAAAGAAACCAGACUCACGCUUCAAACUCGAAUUUAAAGCCUCUUGUAGAAUUUGUGAAUUUGUGAAGAUAAAUUGUUUUUCUGAUUUAUUAUUUAAAAACAAUAGAAUUAUUUUAAUUGUUAUAUCUUCUUCAACAUUUGUAUCGCUCCAACUUGUGUGCUCGCAGCAUGAGCGCUCCGCCAGCAGCAGCAAUGCCAAAGUGAGAUUUUUGUUUUUAAAUAAUUUUUUCCAUCAUGAAUUGCUAUAAUUUCUUCUUUUUCUCCCCCUUCGACAAAGAACUAGAGGCCAGAAGUGCGUAAGACCAAGCGGGGCGAAGCAGCUUUGGUCCAAAGUGGAUCCAGUCCUGGGUGAAUUAUUGUCAUGCGUAAUUUACUGCCACAGCGCGUGCAUGUAAACGAAUCGGUCCAGCUCCUUCUCUCUCUCCCUCUAAAACACACGCGCGCUCGCUCGCUCGCACACACACACACACACACCCUUGAACCCAUAGCUCUAUCUCCGCGUCCUAUUCAAGCGGCUGAGUGGCACCUCUCGCCUUUUUACGCACGCGGGCUCUCCUACGUGGGGCCGCAUAUUCACCGUGAAAACGGAUUACAGUCGUUGUGUGACCUUUAAGGGGACCCUGUGCUUAAUGAAUAUUUUAAUUAGAAUGAGGGGAGGCGUGGAUUUAUAACAGUUCACUCCUAUUUAUGUUUUGAUCAUUUCAAAGUAAAUGCGCAAAUACUGUUGCGCUGCUGCCAGAGAUUCGCUUCACGUGAUGAGCGGAUUGUUUCCAAUUUAAUUGGAGAAUCGUUAUAAAUGAGGUGAUAUGUCAAAUGAAACAUGCUCACGUGUUUGUUACCAUUUCUAAAUGUUUCAACUGUGCUGCUGAUGUCUCUUUUUUAUUUCUCUCAAUAAAAACCUGAAGCUUUUCCCAGCA